rnacentral:lncRNA from 1 species
AUGAGCUGGGAAUGUGAGACUACGACAACCUUUCCCUUGUGUAAUGUCAAUGUCGGCUAUCACUUUGGCAGAAUCAGCCAGCUCAGUGAAGACACGAAAACCUUCCUUCCCUCCUGUUUUUUCAUCUGCUGGUGGCAUUCAAAGUGACCUUCCCUUGUAAAUAUUG